rnacentral:rRNA from 1 species
ACUCCUACGGGAGGCAGCAGCAGGGAAUAUUGCACAAUGGGCGAAAGCCUGAUGCAGCGACACCGCGUGCGGGAUGACGGCCUCGGUUGUGAAUCCGCAUUUACAGGAGGGCAAGAAAAUUGACGGUACCUCCAGAAGAAGCUCCGGCCAACUACGUGCCAGCAGCCGCGGUAAUACGUAGGGAGCAAACGUUGUCCGGAUUUAUUGGGCGUAAAGGGCUCGUAGGCGGUUCAACAAGUCGGUCGUGAAAGCCCGGAGCUCAACUCCGGGACGCCGGUCGAAACUGUUGUGACUAGAGUUCGGUAGAGGUGAGUGGAAUUCUCGGUGUAGCGGUGGAAUGCGCAGAUAUCGAGAGGAACACCAUUAGCGAAGGCGGCUCACUGGGCCGAUACUGACGCUGAGGAGCGAAAGCGUGGGGAGCAAACAGGAUUAGAUACCCUGGUAGGC